CGGACGGGUGAGUAACGCGUGAGAAUCUGCCCUUUUGUCGGGGACAACCAUUGGAAACGGUGGCUAAUACCGGAUAUACCUAACAGUGAAAGAUUAAUUGCCUGAAGAGGAGCUCGCGUCUGAUUAGCUAGUUGGUGGGGUAAAAGCCUACCAAGGCGACGAUCAGUAGCUGGUCUGAGAGGACGAUCAGCCACACUGGAACUGAGACACGGUCCAGACUCCUACGGGAGGCAGCAGUGGGGAAUUUUCCGCAAUGGGCGAAAGCCUGACGGAGCAAUACCGCGUGAGGGAGGAAGGCUCUUGGGUUGUAAACCUCUUUUCUCAGGGAAGAACAAAAUGACGGUACCUGAGGAAUCAGCAUCGGCUAACUCCGUGCCAGCAGCCGCGGUAAUACGGAGGAUGCAAGCGUUAUCUGGAAUGAUUGGGCGUAAAGCGUCCGCAGGUGGCAUUGAAAGUCUGCUGUCAAAGAGUCUGGCUCAACCAGAUAAAGGCAGUGGAAACUACAAAGCUAGAGUACGUUCGGGGCAGAGGGAAUUCCUGGUGUAGCGGUGAAAUGCGUAGAGAUCAGGAAGAACACCGGUGGCGAAAGCGCUCUGCUAGGCCGUAACUGACACUGAGGGACGAAAGCUAGGGGAGCGAAUGGGAUUAGAUACCCCAGUAGUCCUAGCCGUAAACGAUGGAUACUAGGUGUUGCUUGUAUCGACCCGAGCAGUACCGUAGCUAACGCGUUAAGUAUCCCGCCUGGGGAGUACGCAGGCAACUGUGAAACUCAAAGGAAUUGACGGGGGCCCGCACAAGCGGUGGAGUAUGUGGUUUAAUUCGAUGCAACGCGAAGAACCUUACCAGGGCUUGACAUGUCGCGAACCCUUGUGAAAGCAGGGGGUGCCUUCGGGAGCGCGAACACAGGUGGUGCAUGGCUGUCGUCAGCUCGUGUCGUGAGAUGUUGGGUUAAGUCCCGCAACGAGCGCAACCCUCGUUUUUAGUUGCCAUCAUUAAGUUGGGCACUCUAGAGAGACUGCCGGUGACAAACCGGAGGAAGGUGGGGAUGACGUCAAGUCAGCAUGCCCCUUACGACCUGGGCUACACACGUACUACAAUGCGCCGAACAGAGGGCAGCAAGCAUGCGAAUGCAAGCUAAUCCCGGAAAUCGGCGCUCAGUUCAGAUCGCAGGCUGCAACUCGCCUGCGUGAAGUUGGAAUCGCUAGUAAUUGCAGGUCAGCAUACUGCAGUGAAUUCGUUCCCGGGCCUUGUACACACCGCCCGUCACACCAUGGAAGCUGGUAGUGCCCGAAGUCAUUACCCCAACCUCCGGGAGGGGGAUGCCUAAGGCAGGA
rnacentral:rRNA from 1 species